rnacentral:lncRNA from 1 species
CUUAUAGUUUUCACACUCUAACUUAAGUAAAAGUGAAUAGAAAUCUAUGAAAUUUUAACACAAGGUUUAUGACCACAAAAGGAAGGUUGGGAUUGAUUUUAGGAGUUUUGGUUCCAACAUUUUAGGAAUAAGGGGCCAAAAAGGGCCCAAAUAAGCAUUUUCUUGGUUUUCACACUAUAACUUUAGUUUAAGUAAAAUAGAAAUCUAUGAAAUUUUGACACAAG